ensembl:lncRNA
GGGGGGACCUUAUAUUUCUAUACAGGCUAAGCAUGCCAUAGCAUUUGGGACAUGCUUAAGCAGGGGUCUCCAACCCUUCUCCUGGAGAGCUACUGUCCUGCAGAUUACAGCUCCAACCCCAGUCCAACACACCUGAACCAGCUAAUCAAGGUGUUCAGGGCUACUUGAUUAUUACAGACAGGUGUGUUGGAGCAGGGUUGGAACUGAAGUCUGCAGGAUGGUAGCUCUCCAGGAGCAGGGUUGGAGAUUCCUGUGCUAAAGGCAAUAAACAUGUUACGUGGUUUGAACUGAAUUGGAUUGGGGUUGACUUGGCCGUCCACUCCAGCCUCAUGAAUAAUUGAGAGCGAAUGAAAGAAGAAGCUCUCAUAAAUAAACACAGGUCUGCUGCUCUCGCUGACUGGACCCGAGCGUGGUGUUACUGUGCAGGAAACACAAGAAGACGGGGCCCACAGUCUCCCAAAUUAAGCCUUUGAGACCGAGUUAAUGCACUGUAUAUCAUUACCAUACGGAAGCACACCAGCAGUGAGGUGCUGUUAGCUGGGGAGACUCUUCAUGUGUCACUCAUGAGGAAAAGAGCAUGCCUUCAAGGAGGAAUUUCAGAUUGUGCCAUGCUGCCUGACCUCUUCUCUUGGGCCACUUGAAAAACGUGUCAGUCCCUUUGUAGGAACACCUGUGCCUGAUGUCCGACAAGAAUGCAAGCACCAAAAAAGAAAGCAAAAGAAAAGGCCUGCCAUCAAAGACCGUUUUCAUGGAUGGAUAAUUACAUUUGCCUUCAUUUUUUUGGCAAACGCUUUAUGUUUACCAUUCUCACCCAUCAAAAAAAACAAAAAAAACAAUCACAAGACCUGGUGAAUCUCACCCCCUCUCCCUUUAAGACGUCAAGGGGGAGAUCAAACCGAUCCAAGCUAAGGAAAACCCCUCCUUAAAUUCUUAUUUACCAAUCAGUCUCAGCUUUAAUAAAGCUCUAAGCUAUGCCAACAAACACAGACCAAGAAGAAGAAGGAACGGAAAGUGAGAAAGAGAGUGUGAGAGGUCAUGCCAAAACUGCUACGUGUUUGUUCUUCUCCCGCGAGGAAAUCUGGGAAAGCCGAAAAUAUCCCAGAGGCUCCCACUGUUAUUGUAAGGCUAGAGGUGGGUGAUGCUGAAACCCAGGAGGAGUGCUCAUGGAAUGGGAAUGGACGGGCUUUGUUUGGAUAAUUGUGUUUUUAGAUUACAC